UUAAGCGACUAAGCGUACACGGUGGAUGCCCUGGCAGUCAGAGGCGAUGAAGGACGUGCUAAUCUGCGAAAAGCGUCGGUAAGGUGAUAUGAACCGUUAUAACCGGCGAUGUCCGAAUGGGGAAACCCAGUGNCACUAUCGUUAACUGAAUACAUAGGUUAACGAGGCGAACCGGGGGAACUGAAACAUCUAAGUACCCCGAGGAAAAGAAAUCAACCGAGAUUCCCCCAGUAGCGGCGAGCGAACGGGGAGCAGCCCAGAGUCUGAAUCAGCUUGUGUGUUAGUGGAACGGUCUGGAAAGUCCGACGGUACAGGGUGAUAGUCCCGUACACCAAAAUGCACAGGCUGUGAACUCGAAGAGUAGGGCGGGACACGUGGUAUCCUGUCUGAAUAUGGGGGGACCAUCCUCCAAGGCUAAAUACUCCUGACUGACCGAUAGUGAACCAGUACCGUGAGGGAAAGGCGAAAAGAACCCCGGCGAGGGGAGUGAAAAAGAACCUGAAACCGUGUACGUACAAGCAGUGGGAGCACCUUCGGGUGUGACUGCGUACCUUUUGUAUAAUGGGUCAGCGACUUAUAUUCUGUAGCAAGGUUAACCGUAUAGGGGAGCCGCAGGGAAACCGAGUCUUAACUGGGCGUUAAGUUGCAGGGUAUAGACCCGAAACCCGGUGAUCUAGCCAUGGGCAGGUUGAAGGUUGGGUAACACUAACUGGAGGACCGAACCGACUAAUGUUGAAAAAUUAGCGGAUGACUUGUGGCUGGGGGUGAAAGGCCAAUCAAACCGGGAGAUAGCUGGUUCUCCCCGAAAGCUAUUUAGGUAGCGCCUCGUGAAUUCAUCUUCGGGGGUAGAGCACUGUUUCGGCUAGGGGGUCAUCCCGACUUACCAACCCGAUGCAAACUACGAAUACCGAAGAAUGUUAUCACGGGAGACACACGGCGGGUGCUAACGUCCGUCGUGAAGAGGGAAACAACCCAGACCGCCAGCUAAGGUCCCAAAGUCAUGGUUAAGUGGGAAACGAUGUGGGAAGGCACAGACAGCCAGGAUGUUGGCUUAGAAGCAGCCAUCAUUUAAAGAAAGCGUAAUAGCUCACUGGUCGAGUCGGCCUGCGCGGAAGAUGUAACGGGGCUAAACCAUGCACCGAAGCUGCGGCAGCGACACUAUGUGUUGUUGGGUAGGGGAGCGUUCUGUAAGCCUGCGAAGGUGACCUGUGAGGGUUGCUGGAGGUAUCAGAAGUGCGAAUGCUGACAUAAGUAACGAUAAAGCGGGUGAAAAGCCCGCUCGCCGGAAGACCAAGGGUUCCUGUCCAACGUUAAUCGGGGCAGGGUGAGUCGACCCCUAAGGCGAGGCCGAAAGGCGUAGUCGAUGGGAAACAGGUUAAUAUUCCUGUACUUGGUGUUACUGCGAAGGGGGGACGGAGAAGGCUAUGUUAGCCGGGCGACGGUUGUCCCGGUUUAAGCAUGUAGGCUGAUUAUCCAGGCAAAUCCGGAUAAUCAAGGCUGAGGUGUGAUGACGAGGCACUACGGUGCUGAAGUAACAAAUGCCCUGCUUCCAGGAAAAGCCUCUAAGCAUCAGGUAACAUCAAAUCGUACCCCAAACCGACACAGGUGGUCAGGUAGAGAAUACCAAGGCGCUUGAGAGAACUCGGGUGAAGGAACUAGGCAAAAUGGUGCCGUAACUUCGGGAGAAGGCACGCUGGUGUGUAGGUGAAGUCCCUGCGGAUGGAGCUGAGACCAGUCGAAGAUACCAGCUGGCUGCAACUGUUUAUUAAAAACACAGCACUGUGCAAACACGAAAGUGGACGUAUACGGUGUGACGCCUGCCCGGUGCCGGAAGGUUAAUUGAUGGGGUUAUCCGUAAGGAGAAGCUCUUGAUCGAAGCCCCGGUAAACGGCGGCCGUAACUAUAACGGUCCUAAGGUAGCGAAAUUCCUUGUCGGGUAAGUUCCGACCUGCACGAAUGGCGUAAUGAUGGCCAGGCUGUCUCCACCCGAGACUCAGUGAAAUUGAACUCGCUGUGAAGAUGCAGUGUACCCGCGGCAAGACGGAAAGACCCCGUGAACCUUUACUAUAGCUUGACACUGAACAUUGAGCCUUGAUGUGUAGGAUAGGUGGGAGGCUUUGAAGCGUGGACGCCAGUCUGCGUGGAGCCAACCUUGAAAUACCACCCUUUAAUGUUUGAUGUUCUAACGUUGGCCCCUUACCGGGGUUGCGGACAGUGUCUGGUGGGUAGUUUGACUGGGGCGGUCUCCUCCCAAAGCGUAACGGAGGAGCACGAAGGUUAGCUAAUCCUGGUCGGACAUCAGGAGGUUAGUGCAAUGGCAUAAGCUAGCUUGACUGCGAGCGUGACGGCGCGAGCAGGUGCGAAAGCAGGUCAUAGUGAUCCGGUGGUUCUGAAUGGAAGGGCCAUCGCUCAACGGAUAAAAGGUACUCCGGGGAUAACAGGCUGAUACCGCCCAAGAGUUCAUAUCGACGGCGGUGUUUGGCACCUCGAUGUCGGCUCAUCACAUCCUGGGGCUGAAGUAGGUCCCAAGGGUAUGGCUGUUCGCCAUUUAAAGUGGUACGCGAGCUGGGUUUAGAACGUCGUGAGACAGUUCGGUCCCUAUCUGCCGUGGGCGCUGGAGAAUUGAGGGGGGCUGCUCCUAGUACGAGAGGACCGGAGUGGACGCAUCACUGGUGUUCGGGUUGUCAUGCCAAUGGCACUGCCCGGUAGCUAAAUGCGGAAGAGAUAAGUGCUGAAAGCAUCUAAGCACGAAACUUGCCCCGAGAUGAGUUCUCCCUGAGACUUUAAGUCUCCUGAAGGAACGUUAAAGACGAUGACGUUGAUAGGCCGGGUGUGUAAGCGCAGCGAUGCGUUGAGCUAACCGGUACUAAUGAACCGUGAGGCUUAACCUU
rnacentral:rRNA from 1 species